rnacentral:sRNA from 1 species
ACACGCGAAAGGAGGUGAUCCGAAAAAAUGGUUUCUUUUCGGACUCGUGAGGUGACUGCGGGCUAAGGCCUGCCAGUCGCACUCUGUGCACCUCGGCAGGCCUUCUGCCGAACACCAACGCAGUCACCCGACCCGUGAGUCGCCGGCAGUCCGGCCGGCAGGCAUCCGUCCGAACCUAGGCGGACGGUGCCAAGACUCACGGGUCGCCUGCG